AUUGAACGCUGGCGGCAGGCCUAACACAUGCAAGUCGAACGAGAGCCGGACGGGUGAGUAAUGUCCGGGAAAAUUCCUGAUGGAGGGGGAGAACUACGUUAAACGGUAGCUCAUAUCGCACACCAGCGGAUGUGCCCAGAUGUGAUUUGCUCGUAGGUGGGGUAAAGGCUCACCUAGUCGACGAUCCCUAGCUGGUCUGAGAGGAGGACCAGCCACACUGGAACUGAGACACGGUCCAGACUCCUACGGGAGGCAGCAGUGGGGAAUAUUGCACAAUGGGCGAAAGCCUGAUGCAGCCAUGCCGCGUGUAUGAAGAAGGCCUUCGGGUUGUAAAGUACUUUCAGCGGGGAGGCGUUACCCGCAGAAGAAGCACCGGCUAACUCCGUGCCAGCAGCCGCGGUAAUUC
rnacentral:rRNA from 1 species